rnacentral:rRNA from 1 species
CGCGUAGGCGGCCUGGUCAGUCGGGUGUGAAAGCCCCGGGCUUAACCUGGGAACUGCAUCCGAUACUGCGGGGCUGGAGUACGAGAGAGGCGAGUGGAAUUCCCGGUGUAGCGGUGAAAUGCGUAGAGAUCGGGAGGAACAUCAGUGGCGAAGGCGGCUCGCUGGCUUGAUACUGACGCUGAGGUGCGAAAGCGUGGGGAGCAAACA